rnacentral:rRNA from 1 species
UACGAAGGGGGCUAGCGUUGUUCGGAAUCACUGGGCGUAAAGCGCACACAGGCGGAUUGAUAAGUCAGGGGUGAAAUCCCGGGGCUCAACCUCGGAAUUGCCUUUGAUACUGUCUGUCUUGAGUUCGGGAGAGGUUGGCGGAAUUCCUAGUGUAGAGGUGAAAUUCGUAGAUAUUAGGAAGAACACCAGUGGCGAAGGCGGCUAACUGACCCGAUACUGACGCUCAGGUGCGAAAGCGUGGGGAGCAAACAGG